rnacentral:misc_RNA from 1 species
GAGCCGGUGAAGGAUACUUGCACUGUGUUGUAUAUCGGUCACAUACCUCAUGGGUUUUAUGAGGAUCAAAUGGAAGGUUUCUUCAAGCAGUUUGGGGCAAUUAAGAGGUUGAGGAUAGCUCGCAAUAAGAAGACGGGGAAGUCGAAGCACUAUGGUUUCAUUGAAUUUGUGAAUCCAGAGGUAGCUAAGGUUGUAGCUGAUGAGAUUGAUGGGUAUCUACUAUUUGAGCACCGCCUCCAAAUCCAUCUGAUUCCACCCGAGCGUCUGCAUCCGAAGCUAUGGAAAGGUGUAAAUCGGAAAUCCCGACCGUUCGAUUAUAGAGAAUAUGCUCGGAAGCAGCAUAACAAGGAAAGAACACUCGAAGAACAUCAGCGGUUGGUAGAGGGAAUACUCAAAAGAGAUGAGAAGAGAAGGAAGC